rnacentral:rRNA from 1 species
UACGAAGGGGGCUAGCGUUGCUCGGAAUCACUGGGCGUAAAGGGUGCGUAGGCGGGUCUUUAAGUCAGGGGUGAAAUCCCGGGGCUCAACCCCGGAACUGCCUUUGAUACUGCGAAUCUCGAGUCCGGAAGAGGUGAGUGGAAUUCCUAGUGUAGAGGUGAAAUUCGUAGAUAUUAGGAAGAACACCAGUGGCGAAGGCGGCUCACUGGUCCGGUACUGACGCUGAGGUGCGAAAGCGUGGGGAGCAAACAGG